rnacentral:rRNA from 1 species
UACGUAGGGUGCAAGCGUUGUCCGGAAUUAUUGGGCGUAAAGAGCUCGUAGGCGGUCUGUCGCGUCUGCUGUGAAAACUCAGGGCUUAACCCUGAGCUUGCAGUGGGUACGGGCAGACUAGAGUGCGGUAGGGGAGACUGGAAUUCCUGGUGUAGCGGUGAAAUGCGCAGAUAUCAGGAGGAACACCGGUGGCGAAGGCGGUUCUCUGGGCCUUACCUGACACUGAGGAGCGAAAGCGUGGGGAGCGAACAGG